rnacentral:rRNA from 1 species
CUCAGGUGGUUAGAGCGCACCCCUGAUAAGGGUGAGGUCGGUAGUUCGAGUCUACCCAGACCCACCAUUCUCUGAAUGACGCAUACAUUCGAUCUUUAUACGCAUCAGCACUGUGGCUGGUACGUGUUCUUUUAAAACUUGUGACGUAGCGAGCGUUUGAGAUGUUCUAUCAGACGUGUCGUGAGGCUAAGGCGAGAGACGCAAGUCUCUUUAUUGAUUGAGUCGUUAUAUUCGUAUCCGGGCUUUGUACCCCCGGGUCAUGGCACGUGAAACCCUGUCUGAACAUGGGGGGACCAUCCUCCAAGGCUAAAUACUACUGACCGACCGAUAGUGAACCAGUACCGUGAGGGAAAGGCGAAAAGAACCCCGGAGAGGGGAGUGAAAUAGAACCUGAAACCGUGUGCGUACAAGCAGUAGGAGCUCCGCAAGGAGUGACUGCGUACCUUUUGUAUAAUGGGUCAGCGACUUACUGUUCGUGGCAAGCUUAACCGUAUAGGGGAGGCGAAGGGAAACCGAGUCUGAUAAGGGCGCAUAGUCGCGGGCAGUAGACCCGAAACCGGGUGAUCUAGUCAUGCCCAGGGUGAAGGUGCGGUAACACGCACUGGAGGCCCGAACCCACUCCCGUUGCAAAGGUAGGGGAUGAGGUGUGAUUAGGAGUGAAAAGCUAAUCGAACCCGGAGAUAGCUGGUUCUCCUCGAAAGCUAUUUAGGUAGCGCCUCAUAUGUAUCCUCUCGGGGGUAGAGCACUGUUAUGGCUAGGGGGUCAUCGCGACUUACCAAACCAUUGCAAACUCCGAAUACCGAGACGGACUGUAUGGGAGACACACGGCGGGUGCUAACGUCCGUCGUGAAAAGGGAAACAACCCAGACCCACAGCUAAGGUCCCAAAUUUUGUGCUAAGUGGAAAACCAUGUGGAAAGGCACAGACAGCCAGGAGGUUGGCUUAGAAGCAGCCACCCUUUAAAGAAAGCGUAAUAGCUCACUGGUCGAGUCGGUCUGCGGGGAAGAUUUAACGGGGCUAAGCACAGAACCGAAGCUUGGGGUGCAUAACUUUGUUAUGCGCGGUAGAGGAGCGUUCCGUAAGCCGUUGAAGGUGGAUUGAGAAGUCUGCUGGAGGUAUCGGAAGUGCGAAUGCUGACAUGAGUAACGAUAAUGCGGGUGAAAAACCCGCACGCCGAAAGCCCAAGGUUUCCUUGCGCAACGUUAAUCGGCGCAGGGUGAGUCGGCCCCUAAGGCGAGGACGAAAGUCGUAGUCGAUGGGAAGCAGGUUAAUAUUCCUGCACCUCGCGUAAGUGCGAUGGAGGGACGGAGAAGGUUAGGUGUACCAGGCGUUGGUUGUCCUGGGGAAAGGCGGUAGGUUUGGAUCUUUGGCAAAUCCGGGAUCCUUUAAGACCGAGCACCGAGACGAGCCUUUAUGGCGAAGUCACUGAUACCACGCUUCCAGGAAAAGCUCCUAAGCUUCAGCUUACGCAGACCGUACCGUAAACCGACACAGGUGGGUAGGAUGAGAAUUCUCAGGCGCUUGAGAGAACUCGGGUGAAGGAACUAGGCAACAUGGCACCGUAACUUCGGGAGAAGGUGCACCCUUUUUGGUGGCUCGUGCGAGCUAUAGCUGAAGAGGGUCGCAGUAACCAGGCCGCUGCGACUGUUUAUCAAAAACACAGCACUCUGCAAACACGAAAGUGGACGUAUAGGGUGUGACGCCUGCCCGGUGCUGGAAGGUUAAUUGAUGGGGUCAGCCGCAAGGCGAAGCUCUUGAUCGAAGCCCCAGUAAACGGCGGCCGUAACUAUAACGGUCCUAAGGUAGCGAAAUUCCUUGUCGGGUAAGUUCCGACCUGCACGAAUGGCGUAACGACAGCGGCGCUGUCUCCACCCGAGACUCAGUGAAAUUGAAAUCGCUGUGAAGAUGCAGCGUUCCCGUGGCAAGACGGAAAGACCCCGUGAACCUUUACUAUAGCUUUACACUGAACGUUGAGUUCGUCUGUGUAGGAUAGGUGGGAGGCUAUGAAACCAUGGCGCUAGCUGUGGCGGAGCCAUCCUUGAAAUACCACCCUGUCGUGCUUGACGUUCUAACCUGGGCCCAUUAUCUGGGUCGGGGACCGUGUAUGGUGGGUAGUUUGACUGGGGCGGUCUCCUCCUAAAGAGUAACGGAGGAGCUCGAAGGUACGCUCAGCGCGGUCGGACAUCGCGCACUGUGUGCAAAGGCAUAAGCGUGCUUGACUGCAAGAUCGACGGAUCAAGCAGGUAGGAAACUAGGACUUAGUGAUCCGGUGGUUCUGUAUGGAAGGGCCAUCGCUCAACGGAUAAAAGGUACUCCGGGGAUAACAGGCUGAUACCGCCCAAGAGUUCAUAUCGACGGCGGUGUUUGGCACCUCGAUGUCGGCUCAUCACAUCCUGGGGCUGUAGUCGGUCCCAAGGGUAUGGCUGUUCGCCAUUUAAAGUGGUACGCGAGCUGGGUUCAGAACGUCGUGAGACAGUUCGGUCCCUAUCUGCCAUGGGCGUUGGAGAUUUGAGAGGGGCUGCUCCUAGUACGAGAGGACCGGAGUGGACGAACCUCUGGUGUUCCGGUUGUCACGCCAGUGGCAUUGCCGGGUAGCUAUGUUCGGAAGCGAUAACCGCUGAAAGCAUCUAAGCGGGAAGCGCGCCUCAAGAUGAGAUCUCCCGGGGCACAAGCCCCCUGAAGGAACCAUGUAGACUACGUGGUUGAUAGGUCAGGUGUGUAAGUACAGCAAUGUAUUGAGCUAACUGAUACUAAUGAUCCGUGCGGCUUGACC